GACGAACGCUGGCGGCGUGCUUAACACAUGCAAGUCGAACGGAAAGGCCCUGCUUUUGUGGGGUGCUCGAGUGGCGAACGGGUGAGUAACACGUGAGUAACCUGCCCUUGACUUUGGGAUAACUUCAGGAAACUGGGGCUAAUACCGGAUAGGAGCUCCUGCUGCAUGGUGGGGGUUGGAAAGUUUCGGCGGUUGGGGAUGGACUCGCGGCUUAUCAGCUUGUUGGUGGGGUAGUGGCUUACCAAGGCUUUGACGGGUAGCCGGCCUGAGAGGGUGACCGGCCACAUUGGGACUGAGAUACGGCCCAGACUCCUACGGGGGGCAGCAGUGGGGAAUAUUGCACAAUGGGCGGAAGCCUGAUGCAGCAACGCCGCGUGCGGGAUGACGGCCUUCGGGUUGUAAACCGCUUUCGCCUGUGACGAAGCGUGAGUGACGGUAAUGGGUAAAGAAGCACCAGCUAACUACGUG
rnacentral:rRNA from 1 species